rnacentral:rRNA from 1 species
GAAUAUUGGACGAUGGGGGAAACCCUGAUCCAGCCAUGCCGCGUGUGUGAAGAAGGCCUUUUGGUUGUAAAGCACUUUAAGCAGUGAAGAAGACUCCGUGGUUAAUACCCACGGACGAUGACAUUAGCUGCAGAAUAAGCACCGGCUAACUCUGUGCCAGCAGCCGCGGUAAUACAGAGGGUGCAAGCGUUAAUCGGAAUUACUGGGCGUAAAGGGAGCGUAGGUGGCUCGAUAAGUCAGAUGUGAAAUCCCCGGGCUCAACCUGGGAACUGCAUCUGAUACUGUUGAGCUAGAGUAUGUGAGAGGAAGGUAGAAUUCCAGGUGUAGCGGUAAAAUGCGUAGAGAUCUGGAGGAAUACCGAUGGCGAAGGCAGCCUUCUGGCAUAAUACUGACACUGAGGCUCGAAAGCGUGGGUAGCAAAC